GGCGGCGUAGCUCAGUGGCAGAGCACGCGGCUCAUAACCGCGGGGUCCAGGGUUCGACUCCCUGCGCCGCCACCA
rnacentral:tRNA from 1 species